rnacentral:rRNA from 1 species
CACGGGGGUUGCGAGCGUUGUCCGGAAUUACUAGGCGUAAAGGGCAGGCAGGCGGAUCCAUAAGUUUAUCGUUUAAGGCGUCGGCUUAACCGGCGUAGGGCGGUAGAUACUGUGGAUCUGGAAUGCGGUUGGGGAAGACAGAAUUCCUGGUGUAGCGGUGGAAUGCGCAGAGAUCAGGAGGAAUACCGAAGGCGAAGGCAGUCUUCCAAGCCGUUAUUGACGCUCAACUGCGAAGGUGUGGGUAUCAAACAGGAUUAGAUACCAGGGUAGUCCCUGA